AUUGAACGCUGGCGGCAUGCCUUACUCAUGCAAGUCGAACGGCAGCACGGGUGCUUGCACCUGGUGGCGAGUGGCGAACGGGUGAGUAAUACAUCGGAACGUACCUUAUCGUGGGGGAUAACGCAGCGAAAGCUGUGCUAAUACCGCAUACGCCCUGAGGGGGAAAGCGGGGGAUCGAAAGACCUCGCGCGAUUAGAGCGGCCGAUGCCUGAUUAGCUUGUUGGUGGGGUAAAAGCCCACCAAGGCGACGAUCAGUAGCUGGUCUGAGAGGACGAUCAGCCACACUGGGACUGAGACACGGCCCAGACUCCUACGGGAGGCAGCAGUGGGGAAUUUUGGACAAUGGGGCAACCCUGAUCCAGCAAUGCCGCGUGAGUGAAGAAGGCCUUCGGGUUGUAAAGCUCUUUUGUCAGGGAAGAAACACCGGCUCUAGCACAGUCCGGGAAUGACGGUACCUGAAGAAUAAGCACCGGCUAACUACGUGCCAGCAGCCGCCGUAA
rnacentral:rRNA from 1 species